rnacentral:rRNA from 1 species
UACGGGGGGGGCAAGCGUUGUUCGGAAUUACUGGGCGUAAAGGGCUCGUAGGCGGCCAACUAAGUCAGACGUGAAAUCCCCAGGCUUAACCUGGGAACUGCGUCUGAUACUGGAUGGCCUGAAUUCGGGAGAGGGAUGCAGAAUUCCAGGUGUAGCGGUGAAAUGCGUAGAUAUCUGGAGGAAUACCGGUGGCGAAGGCGGCAUCCUGGACCGAGAUUGACGCUGAUGAGCGAAAGCUAGGGGAGCAAACGGG